rnacentral:rRNA from 1 species
GGACUACACGGGUAUCUAAUCCUGUUCGCUCCCCACGCUUUCGCUCCUCAGCGUCAGGUAAGGCCCAGAGAACCGCCUUCGCCACCGGUGUUCCUCCCGAUAUCUGCGCAUUUCACCGCUACACCGGGAAUUCCAUUCUCCCCUACCUACCUCUAGUCUGCCCGUAUCCACUGCAAGCCCAGGGUUGAGCCCUGGGUUUUCACAGCGGACGUGACGGACCGCCUACGAGCUCUUUACGCCCAAUAAUUCCGGACAACGCUUGCGCCCUACGUGUUACCGCGGCUGCUGGCAC